CUGUACAUCAGAUCGGUAUACAGCCGUGGUGACACAGCUGAA
rnacentral:sRNA from 1 species